UACGAAAGGUGCAAGCGUUACUCGGAAUCACUGGGCGUAAAGCGCACGUAGGCGGACUCGCAGGUCAAUUGUGAAAUACCCGGGCUCAACCCGGGAACUGCAGUUGAAACCGCUUGUCUUGAAUACCUGAGAGGGUGGGGGAAUACCUGGUGGAGAAGUGAAAUUCGUAGAGAUCAGGUGGAACACCGGAGGCGAAGGCGCCUGCCUGGCAGUGUAUUGACGCUGAGGCGCGAAAGUGCGGGGAGCAAACAGG
rnacentral:rRNA from 1 species